rnacentral:rRNA from 1 species
AAGCGUUUAUGACCAGACUUGGGCUUGGUUAAUCAUCUGGGGUUCUCCCCAGUGCACUUUUCCAGUCCAGGCCAGCAUCGGUUUCCGUAGGGGGAUAAAAGCUUUAGGAAUGUGGCUCUUCGGAGUGUUAUAGCCUAUUGUAUAAUACCCUUGUGGGGACCGAGGUACGCGCUCUGCAAGGAUGCUGGCGUAAUGGUCAUCAACGA